GAGAGAGGCCCGACGGCCGUAAGGACUGCUAAUCCCCUACUUCCAAGGUUAGACCCCCUGGCUCACUCG
rnacentral:tRNA from 1 species